CUGAUGCGUUGUUGGGUAGGGGAGCGUUCUGUAAGCCUGCGAAGGUGACCUGUGAGGGUUGCUGGAGGUAUCAGAAGUGCGAAUGCUGACAUAAGUAACGAUAAAGCGGGUGAAAAGCCCGCUCGCCGGAAGACCAAGGGUUCCUGUCCAACGUUAAUCGGGGCAGGGUGAGUCGACCCCUAAGGCGAGGCCGAAAGGCGUAGUCGAUGGGAAACGGGUUAAUAUUCCCGUACUUGGUGUUACUGCGAAGGGGGGACGGAGAAGGCUAUGUUGGCCGGGCGACGGUUGUCCCGGUUUAAGCGUGUAGGUGUGUGUUCCAGGUAAAUCCGGUUCACUUUAACACUGAGGCGUGACGACGAGGCACUACGGUGCUGAAGCAACAAAUGCCCUGCUUCCAGGAAAAGCCUCUAAGCAUCAGGUAACAUCAAAUCGUACCCCAAACCGACACAGGUGGUCAGGUAGAGAAUACCAAGGCGCUUGAGAGAACUCGGGUGAAGGAACUAGGCAAAAUGGUGCCGUAACUUCGGGAGAAGGCACGCUGACACGUAGGUGAAGUGAUUUACUCAUGGAGCUGAAGUCAGUCGAAGAUACCAGCUGGCUGCAACUGUUUAUUAAAAACACAGCACUGUGCAAACACGAAAGUGGACGUAUACGGUGUGACGCCUGCCCGGUGCCGGAAGGUUAAUUGAUGGGGUCAGCGCAAGCGAAGCUCCUGAUCGAAGCCCCGGUAAACGGCGGCCGUAACUAUAACGGUCCUAAGGUAGCGAAAUUCCUUGUCGGGUAAGUUCCGACCUGCACGAAUGGCGUAAUGAUGGCCAGGCUGUCUCCACCCGAGACUCAGUGAAAUUGAACUCGCUGUGAAGAUGCAGUGUACCCGCGGCAAGACGGAAAGACCCCGUGAACCUUUACUAUAGCUUGACACUGAACAUUGAGCCUUGAUGUGUAG
rnacentral:rRNA from 1 species